rnacentral:rRNA from 1 species
AGGUAGUUGGUAGGGUAAUGGCUUACCAAGCCGAUGAUCUGUAGCUGGUUUGAGAGGAUGAUCAGCCACAUUGGGACUGAGAUACGGCCCAGACUCCUACGGGAGGCAGCAGAGAGGAAUAUUGGACAAUGGGGGAAACCCUGAUCCAGCAAUGCCGCGUGAGUGACGAAGGUUUUCGGAUUGUAAAGCUCUUUUAGCAAGGAUGAUAAUGACAGUACUUGUAGAAUAAGCACCGGCAAACUCUGUGCCAGCAGCCGCGGUAAUACAGAGGGUGCAAGCGUUGUUCGGAAUUACUGGGCGUAAAGAGCGUGUAGGUGGUAUAGUAAGUUAAUUGUGAAAGCCCUGGGCUUAACCCAGGAAUUGCAUUUAAUACUGCUAUGCUAGAGUAUGGAAGGGGAAAACGGAAUUCCUAGUGUAGAGGUGAAAUUCAUAGAUAUUAGGAGGAACACCAGUGGCGAAAGCGGUUUUCUGGUACAUUACUGACGCUGAGACGCGAAAGUGUGGGGAGCAAACAGGAUUAGAUACCCUGGUAGUCCACACCGUAAACGAUGAAUGUUAGGUUUUGGAGAUGAUUCUUCAGAGCCCAAGCUAACGUGAUAAACAUUCCGCCUGGGGAGUACGAUCGCAAGAUUAAAACUCAAAGGAAUUGACGGGGACCUGCACAAGCGGUGGAGCAUGUGGUUUAAUUCGAAGAUACACGCAGAACCUUACCAGCCCUUGACAUGUGACUUUAUAUCCAGAGGAGACUUUGGUGCCAUGAAAGUGGAGGUCAACACAGGUGCUGCAUGGCUGUCGUCAGCUCGUGUCGUGAGAUGUUGGGUUAAGUCCCGCAACGAGCGCAACCCUUAUUUCUAGUUGCCAGCGAGUAAAGUCGGGAACUUUAGAGAGACUGCCGGUGUAAGCCGGAGGAAGGUGGGGAUGAUGUCAGGUCAUCAUGGCCCUUAUGGGCUGGGCAACACACGUGCUACAAUGGUGGUUACAACGAGCUUAAGCGAAGAUGCAAGUCGGAGCAAAUCUCUUAAAAACCAUCUCAGUUCGGAUUGUCUUCGGAAAUUCGGAGACAUGAAGUCGGAAUCGCUAGUAAUCGCAAAUCAGAUUGUUGCGGUGAAUACGUUCUCAGGUCUUGUACACACCGCCCGUCACACCAUGGGAGUUGGUCUAACUUGAAGAUAGUGAGCUAACCGUAAGGGGGCAGCUAUUCAUAGUGAGGUCGAUGACUAGGGUUAAGUCGUAACAAGGUAGCCGUAGGGGAACCUGUGGCUG